CAGUCGCCGCGGGAAUACAGAGGGUGCGAGCGUUAAUCGGAUUUACUGGGCGUAAAGCGUGCGUAGGCGGCUUCUUAAGUCGGAUGUGAAAUCCCUGAGCUUAACUUAGGAAUUGCAUUCGAUACUGGGAAGCUAGAGUAUGGGAGAGGAUGGUAGAAUUCCAGGUGUAGAGGUGAAAUGCGUAGAGAUCUGGAGGAAUACCGAUGGCGAAGGCAGCCAUCUGGCCUAAUACUGACGCUGAGGUACGAAAGCAUGGGGAGCAAACAGGAUUAGAUACCCCAGUAGUCCCUGUCUCUUAUAC
rnacentral:rRNA from 1 species